CCUACGGGGGGCAGCAGUGAGGAAUUUUCCGCAAUGGACGAAAGUCUGACGGAGCAACGCCGCGUGCAGGAUGACGGCCUUCGGGUUGUAAACUGCUUUUCUGAGAGACGAGCAAGGACGGUAUCUCAGGAAGAAGCCCCGGCUAACUACGUGCCAGCAGCCGCGGUAAUACGUAGGGGGCAAGCGUUGUCCGGAGUUACUGGGCGUAAAGCGCUCGCAGGCGGUGAUGUACGUAGAGGGUUCCAGCCAUCGGCUUAACCGAUGGAGUGCUCGCUAAACGGCAUGACUUGAGGGCUAGAGAGGGACAUGGAACUCCGGGUGGAGUGGUGAAAUGCGUAGAUAUCCGGAAGAACACCAAAGGCGAAGGCAGUGUCCUGGCUAGUACCUGACGCUAAGGAGCGAGAGCUAGGGGAGCGAACAGGAUUAGAUACCCCGGUAGUC
rnacentral:rRNA from 1 species